CAGAGACUCCAGCAGGUCCAGAUCUGACAGGGAGACUAAUCACCAAAGGCUCCACUAUACAAUGUAUGGGCACCAGUGAGAACUCUGUUUCCCAAGCUGAUAUACGCUGUGGAGAAAAACAAACCAACUAUGGCCAUUCGAUACCUGGAAAAAGCAAAACCCUGGAUCACGGAUAUUAUUCAGCAGGUGGACAAGAUAAAUAAAAGCAUCACUACUGAAAAAACCACAAGAAUUUGGCCUCAGGAACUUCGGCGUGCUGUGGCCUGCUGCGUUGACACCUGCUUCCGCUCCUUUCGCAGGCAGCAGUGGAGGUGGAGCUGUCUCGGGUUCGAGACCCUCGGGACAUGAUGGAGCGACGGACCUUCAGACCCACACACACACACAUCCACCAUCACACACACACUCACCUGCACAGAUCAGCCGAGACGUGAGGACAAGCGGAGUUCACAGGAACACUAACGGCAGCUGAAGCCCUGAGAACGGAGAAUGUGUGGAGGGAAUGGCGUGGAACACCUGGGGAACAAGCAGGACCCUCAGAACUGGUGGAUUAAGGGGCUCGCUCAUUAGACCUGUUUCAUGUUAAUCGGACUUUUAGACUGAUUAAGUAAAUGAGCUCUGUUCUGAUUGGCUGCACACUGUUCAAAUAGCAGUCUUGACUCCUUAUGACUUCAGUGUGAGGGGGCGGGGCUAAACUGCUGUAGGCUAAGUAGGCCAGAGAUAUUUGUUUACGUUGAAGGGAAGCCCCCGUCUCCUAACUGACAUUAAACCCUCCCUAUCCCCUUUAUAAAAUGGUCCGAGAUCAUACAUCAAAUCAUUUUAUAUAUGUAUAUAGACUGCCCACCUAGUUUUUACAAAAAGUGUUCAUCCAUAACUAAGAGAAAUCCGUUACGACUGGAUUGUAAAACUUCAUCGUUUCAGCUCUCCGGAUCUUCCCCCCUCUGUACGUGCUAGGAAUGUGAAUCACUACUUAACAAUAAAAACGUAGAGCAAAUGCUACCUGUUCUUAAUAAACAUUGGACAACCUUUUGGGGAAUAAAAACAUCAAUAAUAAACAUGCUACAAAAAAUGUUAGCUAAGUGGUUCUGGUUACUGAACAAUAACGAAUGCAGGUGUCCGAGGCGCCGACGCCGAGGUCUUCUCUCGUCCUCAGUCCCGAGAGACGAACGCUCGUCUACUCGCGUAGAGAAUGGAAGGGAACAGGUCCGUCCGGACUAAACGAAAGAUGAACCUCGCGGGCUUCAGCUCUGAAAAAAAAAAAGAGAUUGGUUUAAUGACUCAUUGGC